ACGGGUGAGUAACGCGUGGGAAUCUACCCAUCUCUACGGAAUAACGCAUGGAAACGUGUGCUAAUACCGUAUACGUCCUUCGGGAGAAAGAUUUAUCGGAGAUGGAUGAGCCCGCGUUGGAUUAGCUAGUUGGUGGGGUAAAGGCCUACCAAGGCGACGAUCCAUAGCUGGUCUGAGAGGAUGAUCAGCCACACUGGGACUGAGACACGGCCCAGACUCCUACGGGAGGCAGCAGUGGGGAAUAUUGGACAAUGGGCGCAAGCCUGAUCCAGCCAUGCCGCGUGAGUGAUGAAGGCCCUAGGGUUGUAAAGCUCUUUCACCGGUGAAGAUAAUGACGGUAACCGGAGAAGAAGCCCCGGCUAACUUCGUGCCAGCAGCCGCGGUAAUACGAAGGGGGCUAGCGUUGUUCGGAUUUACUGGGCGUAAAGCGCACGUAGGCGGACUAUUAAGUCAGGGGUGAAGUCCCGGGGCUCAACCCCGGAACUGCCUUUGAUACUGGUAGUCUUGAGUUCGAGAGAGGUGAGUGGAAUUCCGAGUGUAGAGGUGAAAUUCGUAGA
rnacentral:rRNA from 1 species